rnacentral:misc_RNA from 1 species
GUACGAGUCAAGGAGCUCCAAUGCAGCCUGGAAUCCGGAUGCCCGGUGUCGGGUACAAUCCGAUGGCAGGUAUGGGCGGCUAUGGUCAGCAGCAGUAUGGAGGCGGAAACCGAUGAGGAGCAGUAUCAUGUUAAGCUUUAUACUGGAAUGACCCAGAUUAUAGGAGGGCCAGCGCAAGUCUGUGUCUGUAUGAUGUUGUAUUUGUAGAUUAUUAUUUUGAAGCUACGUUGAUGGUGAUGUAUCGGUGUAUAUGUGUACACUAGUUGGGUCAUUCAAGUGAUACAGACUAUAGAAGCCU